UAUACAAAAACAUGUCGGAGAAAUAACACACAGGAAAUUGCAACACAAAAAAAAAACAAAAAAAAUUAGUUUUAAGCAUAAAGUGAAAUAGUUUCUUGUACGCAUGUUGCUCAACUCUACGACAUUUUUGUAAAAAUUUUCUCUACUCGUCUGAUUAUACACGUCUUUUUAUACCCACACUUAAAAUACACAAAACAGUGACAGAAGCGACAACAAAAGGCCGAAAUUAACAGCUGGCCCAGGGAUAUGAAGUUAGCUGACUAAACGCGAUGCCAGUUGACACUUUACGCUAGCUAUAUGGAACGAUCAUAAAAAGACUGGAAAACAAUGAAGACAAAAGUGAGAAGGUAGAAUAUAAUUCAAAUUCCCUGUUAAAUACCUUAACUGAAUGGCAAACAAGUUAAGAGGAGGAUCAACCGUAUCUUGCAGUGCAGUGCAGUUCAGUUCUCAAUCAAUUAACGACUUGAAAAAUGAAGGCAAGGAUGAUUGGCCAUCUCUUCAUAGAAUUCCUUGGUAUUUGCAUACAUACUGGAGUCAACCACUGAGCUGCACCACCGAAACUAAAACCAUCCCUCAACUCUAUUGGAUCUUGUCCCUGCUCUUCGUGUCCGGCUCUUUUAUUUGUAAACACGAAGACACUAACAAAAAUACACUUGG